ACGUCAUUCUCCUGCCUCAGCUUCCGGAGCAGCUGGGACUGCUGGCGCCCGCCACUACGCUCGGCUAAUUUUUUUGUGUUUUUAGUAGAGACGGGCUUUCACCGUGUUGGCCUAGCGGUUCUCCAACUCCUGACCUCAUGAUCCCCCCGCCUCAGCCUCCCAAAGUGCUGGGAUUACAAGCGUGAGCCACCGCGACCCGCCAACACUCUUGACAACAGUGCUGUGCUAAGAACUUGGGGGACUUCAAAAAGUUCACCAGUUCCUGUGUCCAUGGGUGAAAAGAUUUUCUACAUCUUUCCUUGACUAGAAACAGAAGUCCUGAAACAAGAAUAUAACGUCAGGAGGCCAGAGGCUUUGUCCUGCCUAAUGUGUUAUUUCCACACUGAAUAAAAGCACCUGAGUCCUGCAUUUUAAAAAGGUUGUACAUCUAGCAAUACCUAACAAAAUAGGAAAUCAACUUGUGUCAUUGCAAGAGCAGUUUAGACAAGGCUACAAAUCUACAAGAUGACAUCAGUUAAUACAGUGAAGACAGCUGGAAAUGCAGAGCAUUCAUACAGGAGGCAAUGUAUUGUAAUGGAGAUUUCCGUUUCAUUUCUCAGCAGAGAGCAGCCACUGUCUUUUGUGUUUGGAUAGACAUAUGGAUAUAAGAAAAAUUAUAGAAUAGGAUAGAAGACAUAGUAAUCUAAUGAGUGUUCUGACUGAAUGUUCUAACCUAUGAAAUUAUCAGUCCAAAACUACAUGUUCAGAACUUACGUGCAACAUUAUCUUGCGUUAUAUUAGUAAGUACAUUAAAGGAAAUAGUGGGAAGAAUAAAAUUAAGAGAAGAAAAAAGGUUUUUUUUUCUUUUUACUUGAAGAGCUUCUUUUCAGGAAUGGUAUGAGUUUUUCCCCAAGCCACCUUAAUUUUAAAGUGGCUAUAAGAACCCAGAGAGUGGUACUAAAAGUAACUAAAAGUCUCUUAAGAGGUACUUGCUUUUCAAAGCUAUUGCUGAGAUUCAUGUAAAUUAAAUGUGUGCAAAGAAAAAUGUGUAGAGAAUUAUUUUAACACUCUUGACUGCUUCCUCCAAUUUGAAUUUGUUGGAUUUCUUUUUACUCUCCCAAAGUCCACUUAAAGAAAGAAAUGUUCAAUAUUAAAUUAAGAAACAUUAAGAGAAAUAC
rnacentral:lncRNA from 1 species